AGCAGGUGCCCUUUAUGGACAACAUCAACGAGGAACAUGCUGGACCACACGCCCAUGCUCUUGAGCUAGACGAGGACAUCAUCGUGUCGUACCUCAAUCUCGAGGUGACGAUGAUGCCGACUCACCGCACAAGUGGUUGAUGAACAACUUUGCCAAGCACUAGGCCAACCUGAGUGUGGGCCCCAUCACAUCCAAGAUGAUGGACGGGACCGGUGUUGGUUUUUUGUGAUUUUGCUUGCCUAGCCGCAACCAUGGACGUGGUGAUGCCUGGCCUCGGCUACAACUGCACAGUGAUUGAAGAUCAACCCUGCCAAGUUGUUGAAAUAAGCACUCCAUGGAUGGAAUCCUGCAGUUGAUCCAUCCAUCUCGAAGAGGAAGAAGCAGAAGAAUAAAAGAAGAUGGUGAUCUAUAUGAGUUGAUGGGUUCGUCGGAGGAGGAGAAGGACCUCUUCUCUUCACCAACACAAAGAGCAACCACACCCCAGCGCUCAAGCACAUACACAGGGACCUCCCCGUUGUUGUAUUUGGUGGAUUCGGUUCGUGCAAGCAAGCACACCGAGGUUGGCUGGCCCGCACUCCAUUUCAGGGGGUGUUCUGUGUACCACCGGAGGAAUGAGCUCGCCAGCUGCGUCGACAUCAUCGACGCCGACGGCCAGCCCCACGUCAUAUUCAUGUGCGUCUGAGCGGGCCGCUAUGGGAGGAUGACCCCACUCAUCGUCAACAGGCACCACGGCAGCUACGUCGAGGCCCUCCAGAUUGUCAUUAUGCUGCCCGAGAACCCCUGAUAUCGGGAGUUCCAACAUCUGGUGGAAAUGCCUUAACGAGUUGAUUGCCACUGAUGAAACUUUUUAUUAUUAUUUUGCGGAUGGUGAAACAUCCUCUUCAAGAACUAUGCAGGGAUCGAUGAGCAACUUUGCCUAGCACUAGGCCAACCUGUGUGGGACCUAUCAUAUCCAAGAUGAUGGAUGGGACAGGUGGUUUUUGUGAUUUUGCUCGCCAAGCCGCAACCAUGGAAGUAGUGAUGUCUGGCCUCGGCUACAACUGCGUAGUGAUCGAAGAUCAACCCAGCCAAGUUGUCCAAAUAAGCAUGGAUGGUGUCCUGCAGAGUAUCCGUCCAUCCAUCUCUAAGAGGAAUAAGCAGAAUAAUCAAAGAAGAUGGCGAUCUAUAUGAGCUGAUGGGUUCAUCGGAGGAUGAGAAGAAGUGCCUCUUCUCUUCACCAACACAAAGAGCACUCAAGCACAGUCACGGAGACCUCCCCGUCGUUGUAUUUGGUGGAUUCAGUUCGUGCAAGCAAGCACACCGAGGAUGGCUGGCUCGCACUCCAUUUCAGGGGGAUUUCGGUGUACCACCUGUGGAAUGACCUUGCUAGCUGCGUCGACAUCAUCGACGGCCAGCCCCACGUCAUCAUCAUGGCGUCUGAGUGGGCCGCUAUGGCUGGCUGACCCCACUCAUCGUCAACCGGCACCACGGCAGCUGCGGAGAGAACCUCCUAAUUGUUAUUAGGCUAUCCGAGAACCCGUGGUGAGAGCUUCUCUCCAUGUCACAACUAACCAGUGAGGACUUGCGAGAGGAACUGAAGAAAAAGGAAAAAAGCCAUGUUAAGUUUUCCGUUUGCUGGGUGUCGGCCGAAUGGCUGACUCGACGUAUCAAGAGGCAAGAUGAACCCUGAAGCCAGUGGAUGAACCAAGAGAUCCAGGUUGAAGCGUGUGGGUGGUGUGCGCACUGAAUGGACCAAGAUUCUCUGGAGGGAAAUAUACAUGCUGGAAUGCAAGAAGGCCCUGGCGAAUCUCGAAGACAAGAUAUAGGCAUUUUUGUGUUUAUUUUUACUUUUCCGUUGGGUGUCUGUUGGUGGAAUGGUCUAGGGGGUUUGUAUUGUGCUCUGCAGAAACUUGGUAUCUUUGGUCAAUGUCAACAAGUAGCAGACAACAUAUUGGAUUGGUUGAAUGAAUGUGUGCUUUUUCUGUUGGCUCAAAUGCUUAAUUCUCCAUGAAAAGAAUGAUUGUCAGGUCGUUCAUUCA